CUUGCUCAAACCUGGCCGUUUCCUCAGUUGUGGUGGUUUUAAAACAUGUCUGCAAACCCUCAGACCUUCCUCUCAUUAAGAGGUAUGUGAGUGAGCAAACCAUGAGAGGAGUCCAGCCCUGGCCUUCCAGCCGUCCCAGCUGAGCGGAGAGACAGACAUGCUGUUCCUGCAGCAUCCUGGCCAAACUGCCAAUUCGAUUUCAAGGCAGUCUUCUCCCAAAAGAGAAUUCUGAGGCUGGCCCACUACAAUGUAUUUCUGCAGACAGAAGAUGAGAACAAGGCCAAAUGAUCAGUUGUGGCAUCUUUCAGUCAUAAGUUCAAUGAUUCUGGGCACAAGGCAAGGAGCCCUCUAAGGGAAGGAAGUCAUUCAUCGAAAUUAGAGCCACAGGCGGCUGAGGACAGGGCCAGGGACCAGCAGAGAUUCUGGACAAGGUGACUGUCUGGUUGGCACCUGGGCUCUUCCCCUGCUGAAUCUUUCUCUU